UGGUUCUAUUGCUACAUGCCCCCCUCAUUCAGUCAUACCCAGUGUAAGUCUGUGGUGGUGUCUGUGCGAAAGCAGGACUCUUCACUUGGCCCUCACAGGAUCCGCCGCCGGCCUCCUGGAUCUCCGAGAAGCUUCUUGGCUGUUCUGGAAGGUUUCCAGCUCUGCGUUCCCGGUCCUGUUUUGUGUUCACGCACAGUUAGAGGUUGUCUCGCACACACCCCACCACUGGCUGGCAUCACCGUGACCCCUCCUCCCCACGACCACCACCACACAUCCCUGAACCCCUCCCUCUUCCUCGGAGCAGCCAUGGCCUUGUCUUCGCGCUUAAAGCUGUGGGAGCAGAAGAUAAAGGAGGAGAACAAACCAGUGGCAGCAACUAUCCCUCCACCACCACUGUCAGUUCUGCCAGGAGGUAUCCUAAAACAGCUCGUCAGAGAUUCAGAGAAGGAGACCAAACAUAAAGAGCCAGAGGUCAAAGAGGUCAAAGAGGAGAGAACACCGAACAAACUGAGCGACAACCUCGUGCAACAGUUCCUUGUCCCAGAUCAGACUCCUCCAAUCCUCGAGGCAGAGAUGGCACUGCGGGCUGAACAGGUCAACAACAGCAAACAGAAAAGGUCCAACUCCGCCCAGUCGGAUAGCAGGCCCUCGUCUCAGCGCCACAUUUUGACUCCGGACUCCGACAAUAAACCAGAAAGCAGACAGACCUUAACACCGGAGCCCCUGAAGCAAAACCAGCAACAGGAAAAGAAGCAAGAAAUCAGCAGUAAGAAGGCACUGCAACCUGAGCGGAAAGGGAAGAGGAUAGAGGAUGUGGAGAAGGUGGAAAGAGCCGAGAAUGGGGUGGAGGAGAGACAAGAACCCGAGGGAAGGCAAGCUGACGCAACGGUAACGGAGAACGAUAGGAAGGAGGUGAGGGACGUGUGGUAUGAGGUUGGACCCGUGUGGUACGUCAACAAGGAUGGUUUCACCCGCGCCACUCAGCUGAAACCGGAUGAUGGCACACCUGAACUCCCGGAUGGUCGGAUGAGAGUUCGCCUUGAGACAGACGGGUCGCUCCAUGAUGUCACAGAGUUUGAAGUUGAGAAGUGUAACCCAUCAGAACUGGACCUAUGUGAAGAUCUGAGCGACCUGCAGACUGUGAAUGAAAGUGGAGUUCUGCACACGCUGACCAGCCGAGCUAAAGCCAACAUGCCCCUCACUCAUGCUGGACCCAACCUGGUCAGUUUGUGGCCCCCGCUUCAGACCCACAGCAAGACUCCGAAAUCACGGCGAGGGGAGUCCGUGUGGGACGCUCCUCCUCCUCUGGCUGCGCUUGUCAGGCAGCUAUAUUUGUCGCUGGUUGGAACCAGGAGGGACCACAGCGUGUGCGCACUGGGACGAAGCGGCACAGGCAAGACCACAACAUGCCAAGCUUUCACACAUGCUCUCCUCAAACAAGCCGGUACAGCUGGACCGAACAUCAGCGUGGAGCGUGUGCAGGCCAUGUUCACCAUCCUGAGGUCUUUCGGCUGUGUGAGCUCCCAGCACAGCGACGCGUCUUCUCGGUUUGCCAUGGUCUUCUCUCUGGACUUUAACCACGCUGGUCAGGUCUCUGCCGGACAGCUGCAGACUAUGAUGCUGGACAAAUGGAAAGUGUGUCAGAAGAGUCCAGGAGAAAGCAACUUCCUGGUCUUCUCUCAGAUGCUGGCUGGACUCAGCACAGACUUGAGGACAGAACUGCAGCUGCACCAGCUCCCUGAAUCCAACUCCUUUGGUAUACUUCAGCCCACCAAGGUUGAGGAAAAACAGCGAGCAUCUGUUGCCUUCACCAAGCUGCUGACUGCCAUGGAAACACUAAGCUUCUCAGCCGGCGAGCAGAAGGCGAUCUGGCAUGUUCUGGCUGCCAUUUACCACCUGGGAGCUGCUGGGGCCUGUAAAGUGGGCAGGAGGCAGUUUGUGAACUUCGACAGCGCUCAGGCAGCCAGCAGCAUCCUGGGAUGUGAGGCGGAGGAGCUGGACACUGCCGUCUUCAAACAUCACCUGCGACAGCUGCUGCAGAAAGCCACUGGUGUCAGCAGAGAAAGGAACGAGUCUGAAGAGGGUCCCCGUUUAACAGCUUCCCAGUGUGUGGAUGGAAUGGCUGCUGGACUCUAUGAAGAGCUCUUCACUGUCAUAGUCUCACUCAUCAACAGAGCCCUGAGCAGUGAGCAGCUGGCGUUAGCCUCUGUGAUGGUGGUGGACACGCCAGGCCUGAGGAACCCCCGGCACUGUGCAGAAGAGCGAGGGGCCAGCUGGUCCGAGCUUUGUCACAACUACCUGCAAGAGCGGCUGCUGGAGCACUACCACACACAAACCUUCAUACACUCGCUGGACAGAUACGCACAGGAGAGGGUUAAUGUGGAGUUUGAGUGUCCUGAGAGCUGUUCUUCAGAAGUUGUUUCUGCCAUCGAUCAGUCGCCUCCACAGGUCCGCGCAGCAGAUGAAAACCCCCGAGGUCUGCUGUGGGUUCUGGAUGAGGAGAUGGUGACACCCGCCUCCUGUGAAAGUGCCGCUCUGGAGAGAGUCUGUCGUUAUUACAGCAACACUGUGCGUCAGUGUGAGCAGCCACUGCAGUGCGAGGUGAACCACCUGACUGGCUGUGACCCUGUCCGUUACGAUCUCACGGGAUGGUUUGGUUGGAUCCAGAACAACCAGUCUUCUCUCAACGCCAUUUCUCUGCUCCAAAACUCCACCGUAGGGGUUAUCAAGACUCUGUUCAGACCCAGAAUCUCGGUGCCACCUCUGUGCCGAGGCCUGGGCGGGCUGGAGGGGGGCAGUCAGCGCGCUCUGCAGAGGAACGGGACCAUCCGCAAAACCUUCAGUGGCGGGAUGGCAGCGAUACGCAGAUACUCCCAUUGUAUAGCUGUAAAGCUGCAGGCAGAUGCGCUGGUGAACCUGAUCCGUCGAGCCAGGCCAGUGUUCCUACAGUGUGUGAGUGCAAAAGCCAACGCUGGCAGCUUUGAUAUCCCGGCUCUCAGAGUGCAGCUCCACUCCACUCAGAUCCUGUCAGCCCUCCAGCUCUACCGCACAGGUUAUCCAGAACACAUGACACUCAGUGACUUCAGGUGCCAUUUUCAGGCUUUAUCUCCUCCGAUUAUGAAACGUUACGCCUCAAUGUUUGUCAGCCACGAUGAGAGAAAGGCGGUGGAGGAGCUGCUGGUUGAGCUGGACAUAGAAAAAAAGAGCAUCGUGGUUGGUGGCAGCAGGGUUUUUAUGAAGAGGGGUGUGCUACAAUACCUGGAGCAGCAGAGGGAUCAGCAGGUGACUGGGUGGCUGGUUUACUUGCAGGCUGCCUGUAAAGGACACCUGGGACGUCAGAAGUACCGCAAGCUCAAGGUACAACAGAUGGCGGUAAGAUGUCUGCAGAGGAACCUGCGGGUUCUGAAGGUUGUAGCAAAAUGGAGCUGGUGGAAGCUUUUCUGCAGGGUGCGUCCUUUGCUUGAUGUCAACAUGGACAACGAAAGGCUGAGAGCCAAGGAGGAUGAAGUAUCAGCUCUGAGGCGCCGCCUGGAGAAGUCAGAGAAGGAGAGGAAUGAGUUGAGGCAGACGGUAGACAGCCUGGAGACCAAGGUUACAGCGGUGACAUCCGAGCUAAGCGAUGAGCGUUUCCGUGGAGAUGCCGUGGGUCAGGCUCUGGAUGUGGAGAGGGCAGAGAGACUUCGACUCAGCAGAGAGAAUAAAGACCUUCUGGCUCGGCUGGACCAGUGUAAAGUUACCAUGGAAACCCUUGAGAAGCAGCUAGAGGAGGAGAAGCAGAAAGCUCAAGCUGCUGUAAGUCAGAGAGGAGCUGCAACAGAGAGCGAACUAGCCAUGCAGCUGGAGUGCAGCCAGACGGAGGUGGAAUUUGUCCGCAGACGACUGAAGCAGACGGAAGAAAAGCUGGAGACAGAGAGACAGACCAGACAACAGCUCGAUACCAAGGUGGCAAUGCUGCAGGCCCAGCUGGAGCAAUCCCGGAGGAGCACGUUGGAGCUGAAACGUCACUGUCGCCGGGUGACCUCGGACCUUCAGGAUGCCAGAGUACUCAGUGAUGCUCUGCAAAGUCGCAUGCAUGAACUGGAGCGCAAACAGAGAAGGUUUGAUAAUGAGUUGGCCCAGGCUCUGGAGGAGGCCAACAAUGAGAGAGAGCAAAAGGACAAAGCUUUGCAAGAGAAUUCAGCUCUGGGGACCGAAGUAUUCAAUCUGCGGCGCAACCUGCAGGAGAGCCAGUCAGAGGUGAGUCGUCUGCAGAAGCAGAAGGAGGAGUUGUGUGCUCAGAUCAGAGACCUCAGCCUGCCGGUUGAUCUUGCCUCAGACUCGGUGCCUGACAUGAAGAAACAGAUUCGCCUCCUGGAGAGCCAAGCCAGCGAGAGAGCUGAAGAAAUGACCAAACUCUCCGCCCAGAUUCAGCAACAGCAGCAGAUCCACAUGCGAUUUGAGAUAGAGAUGGAGAGGAUGAAGCAGAUGCAUCAGAAGGAGUUGGAGGACAAAGAAGAAGAGUUGGAGGAUGUCCAUAAAUCCUCUCAAAGACGGCUGAAGCAGCUGGAGAUGCAGUUGGAGCAGGAGUAUGAGGAGAAGCAGAUGGUAAUUCAUGAGAAGCACGACUUGGAGGGACUCAUUGCAACGUUGUGUGAGCAGGUGGGACACAGAGACUUUGAUGUGGAGAGGAAGCUGAGGAGAGACCUGAAGCGGACCCAUGCUCUGUUGGCCGAUGCCCAGCUGCUACUCGCUACCCUGGACAGCGCAGGCCACAACCUUCCCAACGGCAGCAAAGACCAAAUAGAACAUCUGCAUUGCCAGCUGGAAGAAAGUGAGGCGAGGCGGCUGGAGGCUGAGAACAUGCAGAAAACUCUUUCCAUGGAGCUGGAGAACACCCAGCUGGAACUGGAGAAUAUGUGCAGGCAGAAGAGUGUGGUGGAGGAGCAGUUGGUCCUACUGCAGCAUGAGAACAUGGAUCUGCUGAAGAGGCUCGAGGAGGACCAGGAAGACCUCAAUGAGCUCAUGAAGAAACACAAAGCUCUUAUUGCACAGUCCUCCAGUGAUAUCUCUCAGAUCAGAGACCUACAGGCUGAGCUGGAGGAGGUGAAGAAACAGAGACACUCACUCCAAGAGGAGCUCCAGCAGUGCGUGUCCAGGGUGCAGUUCCUAGAGUCGUCCACCGUGGGGCGCAGCAUAGUCAGUAAACAGGAGGCCCGUGUGUGUGACCUGGAAAAUAAAUUGGAGUUUCAGAAGGGGCAAGUCAAGAGGUUUGAGGUGCUGGUGCUGCGUUUGAGGGACAGUGUGGUUCGUCUGGGAGAGGAGCUGGAGCAGAGUGCCCAGACCGAAGCUCGGGAGAGGGAGAACGCCCGCUACUUCCAGCAGCGCCUGCUGGAGAUGAAGCUGGAGAUGGAGGAGUUGAGCCAGAGAGAGCAGGACAGCAGCCGCAGACGGAUGGAGCUGGAAAUGCAGGUGGAGGAGCUCUCUGCCGUCCGACAGACGUUACAGGCCGACCUAGAGACAUCGAUCCGCCGCAUUGUAGAUCUGCAGGCCGCCCUGGAGGAAGUGGAAUCGAGCGAUGACAGCGAGACUGAAAGUGUUCAAACUGCAGUGGAGUCCUUUUCUCGAAAAAAAGACCUUGACUCUGUGUCCAGCGUUGGUUCUGUUGGAUCAAAGGAUGUCGGCGAGGGCAUUCGGUCCCGUAGAGGUGGCUCUCCCUAUAGCAGCCAAGACGGCCGUCAGUCUGUCACUGACACCAUGAGCACCUACAGCUUCCGUUCUUGUCUGGAUCCUGAUGACGAGGGCUCCCAGGCAGGGGGUGUGGGUGCCAGACAUCUGAGUCGAGCUCCAUCCUCCUCAGCGUUGUCUGAGCUGCUGGAUGGACUUCGGAAACGCCGAGCCGAGCCGGUGGACGGAGCUGGCAGCGCGGUGUCCCUUCCCAUUUACCAAACCACCGGCGCCUCAACUCUCAGGCGGAGAGGGUCAGCUCUUUCCCUUGGACCACUAGAUGUCCAGGAGCCCCGACCUGGUCCUAGCAUCCUGAAACCACCCUCUCCUCUCCUGCCACGGGCCGCCAGCACCCGCUCUGUCAACAGCUCGGAGGCAUCUACAGCCGAAGCUAAGCUCUCUCGCUUCAACUCAAGCGGCUCCGCCUCUUCGCUCCCGUCCCUGCCCCGCCUCUCCUCUUUGUCAUCUUCUCUUUCUGCUCACCAUCACGUUCCUACGUUGUCCAUCCCUGAGGAGGAUCAAGAUGAACCCCUGCGCUCAGCGACAGCUUCUGUCCAGCGUUCUCCUCAGCCGCUACGGCGGUGCCUGCUGGAGAGUGCCAUAACUGCAGAUGGAGGAGAGGGGUCUCUGGGGUCGGAACCGAUGGUCUUCCAAAACCGGCGUUUAACCAAUGGUUACGAUGACGCCGCCUCAGACAUCCUGCCUGCCAUCCGGAGAGCUCAGUCCACCAGCAGCCUGGCCAGCUCAAUCAGGGGAAGCAGGAGGGCGUUGAGCGUCCACUUUGGAGAGCUGCCGCCUUCCACACGCAGCAGGAAAGGCUCCGAGACAGAGUCCUCCAGUUCCGGGGGCUCAGGAGCAAGCUCCCAGGGUAGUGGCCCCCGUCGAAGAUUUGAACGGCCACAAGGAGAAAGACUGGAGGCAGAAGGGAGUGAGGGGGGAGACGUGGCUUCUGUCAUGAAGAAAUAUUUGAAGAAGGAGAUCGACUGAUGCAGGCGAGUCCCAGCUGAACAUGAGCAGGAGAGAUUCUCAGGUGGUAGAUGAAUGCAGGCUCAGGCUUGUAUCUGCCUCCUCAUGCGUCGGCCUCCAGCUGUGAGCUUCAAAGAGAAACGGCAGACCACGGGAAGCUGAAUGAAAUGCUUUAGAAGUCAACGCGGAUGCUUUGGACUCCUCAUCCGGAUAUUAAAGCCACUGGAAGAAAAAACACACUCUGUAUUUUCAAAUAAAAAUUCUGUUUGUAUAUGAUUAAAAAUGAAUGAAGAA